UGCAGCUGUGUCAAAUUCAGUCCUCAUCCAACCCAUGCUGGGGACUGGCCAAACAGCUGCCACAGCAAUGGCUGUAGCUCAUGAGCCCCACUGUCCGUCUUGACCCUGGGGAUAAAUAAAUGCUACAGACACUG
ensembl:snoRNA